UACGGGGGGGGCAAGCGUUGUUCGGAAUUACUGGGCGUAAAGGGCGCGUAGGCGGCCCGCUUAGUCGGACGUGAAAUCCCUCGGCUCAACCGAGGAACUGCGUCCGAUACUGGCGGGCUCGAAUCCGGGAGAGGGAUGUGGAAUUCCAGGUGUAGCGGUGAAACGCGUAGAUAUCUGGAGGAACACCAGUGGCGAAGGCGGCAUCCUGGACCGGUAUUGACGCUGAGGCGCGAAAGCCAGGGGAGCAAACGGG
rnacentral:rRNA from 1 species